rnacentral:sRNA from 1 species
AGAAAGUUAUCAAGAUCAGCUUAAGCCAAAUGGACCAUUUC